rnacentral:rRNA from 1 species
CAAUAGCGUAUAUUUAAGUUGUUGCAGUUAAAAAGCUCGUAGUCGGAUUUUGGCUGAGAACGAACGGUCCGCCGUUAGGUGUGCACUGUUUGGUCUCAGCUUCCUGGUGCGGAGGUGUGCUUCACGGCCACUUAGUCACCGUGGUUACUUUGAAAAAAUUAGAGUGUUCAAAGCGGGCUUACGCUUGAAUAUAUUAGCAUGGAAUAACACCAUAGGACUCCUGUCCUAUUUCGUUGGUCUCGGGACGGGAGUAAUGAUUAAGAGGAACAGUUGGGGGCAUUCGUAUUUCAUUGUCAGAGGUGAAAUUCUUGGAUUUUUGGAAGACGAACUACUGCGAAAGCAUUUGCCAAGGAUGUUUUCAUUAA